ensembl:lncRNA
CUCCUUCCCCCCACUCUCCUCUCUAUAUUUCUUUUUUCCUCUCUUCUCUCUCUCGUCAUCCCCUCGUCUUCUCCCUCCCAUUUCAUCACCACAGAGGGAAAAGCGAUGGAGCAUUUCGUCUGCCGGAGGUGAAAAGAACUCGUCGAGUGUAAGUAGAGGGGUUUCUGGCAGAGGGGGGGUGGGGGGGGGGGAGAAGAAGCGGGAUGAGGCGGGGGCUUCGGAGGUUGCGGAGGCAGGCAGGGAUGGCGAAAGGGAACGGGGGAGAGACACGCGGGCAGCGGCACAAUCGCGUUAGCCUGGUCUCCGAGGGAUAAAGUUGGGCUUAACUGCAGAAUUACCCACACUCCUGCAUUACAAAAUGUUCCUUCGCCAGCAUUUAGCAUGCAAAUUGGCUCCCAGAUUCUGCCUUUUGUAUUCAUUUUACCAACUGUCAGGCUGUGACGCAGGGAGAAUGAUAAUCAGGCAGAUAUUGCCCCCUAGCGCUCCGGCAAAGAUCAUGGACGCUGCAAUGGGGGAGUGUUGUGUUACUGCAGAUCAAUGACUUUUGGGUAGAAGUGUGUGCGAGCGUGUGCGCUGAAAAGAGAGACAGGGAUUGAGGGGGUGAAUAGCUGAAAGGGAAAGACCCGAGAGUUAAGGUGACUAAAGGCGGGUGGGACGGUGGGAAACGAAGAGAGAGAAUAACUUGAAGGCCGUACAGUGCUCGCCUGAACGCAUUGUGUAAGAUACAAAUAAGAACGGGGAGAAGUGCUCUGAGAAUAUUCCUCUUCCCGAUGUUAAUAUUCAGCACCAUGUCGUCCGAAAGCUGUGGCAGUCUGCCUCUCUGGGAGUCAUCCGGGGCCAGCGAUCGCUCACGUCUCUCCCGGGUCGUAUCUGUGAAUAUCCGCCAGAUAAUGAGUCUGAUUUGAAUAAUGGCCCUGAUCUGAUUCGUACCUCCAAUUGCGUUUUUCACCAAUCGGCCCAACAUGUAUUUUACAUUCACGGUGGGCACAUCUGCAGACCACAUGCAGACAUCACAUACACCGGCCCGGAGGGAAAAAGGCUUUAAUUACUGGAGGAUAAAAAAGUCACUGAUUGAGUGCGAGAGGUGGGAGAUGAAGGAGGGAAGGUGUCGUUUCUGUAAAAGAAGGUAGUGUUUUGAUGAUGGAAAGAUGAAAAUGGUCCUUAAACUAACAGGUGUGUAUGACCCUGCCUUCUACUGUUCAUGAGGUUGAAUCUCUGCACAGAAAUGAUUCUGGGUGGUAUCGGCGUUGUGUGACUGUCUGCUGCGUGUUGAUAAAAAAAUGAAUAAAUGUAAAAUGAAGCAUUUAAGCUCAAAUAUGUUCACAUCUGCAUACUGGCACAAGGAAUGGUUUCAAGUACGUCACAUUCCACCAAUUUGGGUCUCUCUUCCACGACCAUUAUUCCUUCCCAUACUGCUAACCGCAACAAACUCAAUUGCUGAUAUUCGGUAAUGACAUUGCUGCACGGGCUGACAUGGCAACAGUUAAUCCAUGCAUCAUUUCAUUUGAGAUGAAAUCCAAAUUAUAAAUAAACACAGGCCAAAUCCCCCUAAUCAUCAGCCGCCAUUGCACACGAGAACUGUUUGUUUUACGCAGCCACAGUAAACACAGUCAAAACUAAAGCAGGAAAUCCGGGAAUUGGUAAACUACCAGGUGGUCCGAGGAUUACAAAAAUCCCCCACCUCCCCCUGUAGGUAAUGUGAUCAUGAUUUGAUUUGGUUCAUUUCAUUUAAUUACGUGUGGCCACAAGGUAAGUAUCUAAAAACAUUAACUCACACAUAAACACAUCAAAUUUUGUUUUCAGGAAUUAGUCGUACAUUUGUAAAUUGUUUUGUGGAUCCCGAGGGAAUUGAUGAGGUCUGCUAAUGUGACCUGAAGUUUGCCUGCUUUGACUUCCAACUAAAUUUGUCUGAGUAUAUGUUUCUUGCCAUGUCAGACAUCACGUCAUCACAGUUAUUAGAACUGAUAGAUAUUGGGUUCAAAUCCAUCAAAAUAAGUCGCAGGUUGCAUUAAACCACAACUUGCACGUUGCCUCUGUUGCAUCUUCGAUAUGCCGACGUCUUUCUUUGCAUACACGGCCCAUUUCCUUGUCUUUCCUCCUCCAUCAGGACAAGUCGACCCCAGAGGACCAGAGCUCGUGGGACAGCUUCAAGACCAUGACCCCCGAGCUGUCCAUCGUGCCCGGGGAGCAGAAGGAUCGAUUGGAGCUGCACAAUAAGAACUGGGACUCGUCCUCCGCUAACACGCCUGACUCAUCCGAGGGAGACUUCCAGACUGAAGUGUGAAGACACACACACACACACACACGCGCGCGCGUGCACACGCUCGCUACGACACACACGUGCUUGUGCGGAGAGAAACGAUUGAAAAAAAAAAAAAAAGCUAUACAUAGAUACAUGAUUUCUGACAACGCCACUGCUCCUCCUGCAACGUGCCCUGCCGGAUCCCAUACUGUGUUUGUUUACUGGCGGAGCGGACAGGCGCGGAAAGAAGACUGUUCUACCAUAUAUUUUCGCAAAGACUAUUGAAAAGAAAGAACAGGGGCGUGACACGUCUGGGACCGAGGAACAUUUUUAAAUGAACUUAAGAAAACUAUGGAAAAACAAAACAAAACAAAAAAAUAUUUCUGAGAAAAAUGUCUUGAUUUUAUUCUGAAUGAAAAUCUCUUUCAAUUGUUUGAUGAUUUGGGGUGGGGGAAGGAAAAUAAUAUUUCUGCACUGUUACGUUCUUUUUAUAGCAAGAGGGGGGGAAAGAUCUCACUGGGGUUUCUCACACUGUUAUCCCCCCUCGGCACCCGGCUUUCAUGUAUUUCCUUUUCCCUUCUAAUGGAUGUUGGAAGCAUUAUAUCUCCUAUUCUCUUUCCUUUUUUAUUUAAUUCUUUUUGGAUGCAAAGGGAGUGGGGGACAACGGAAGAGCUGCUCAUUGAUAUGUGCCAUCCUCAUUGCUUUUUUUUCAGGUUCCAGUUCAACAACCCCAUCCAUCCAUCAUCCGUUGUGUACUUUCUGUGUAUUUUCUACAGCUUUGUUCCAAGAAAUAUCAUCUUCUAUGGAUGGAAACUUCUAAUGAAAAAAUUAUAUGAAUGAAGCAUCUGUUCAAGAAGAAUUGAGUUAUUUUUAGACUAGAAUACUCAUGCUCCUGCUGCUUUUAAAAAAAAUCAUUUUCUUUUAAUUUUCUCUGAGAAUGAACCCGCGUGGAACUUUAAAAAAACAACGUUUUGGAUACACACAGCACAUAAAUGUGAGCUUAUGUUUGAGGCGAUGUGUCCCGCAUGUUCUCCAGUCACGAGGAAAGAGAAAGAUAGUCAUCAGAUGCAGAUUCUUGCAUCCCCCCCCUCCCCCAAGUCCUUGGAGAUAAAAGCCUUUAAAGAUUGCAGCAUCUGAAGCCAUUUCAGCCAUCACCAAUAACACCACAAAAGAGAAUAUCUUAUUCAUUUUCAGCCCACGUGGAAUCUGCGUUCGCUCCGCAUCAGUCCUCAACAAAAACUAAGGCUUCUGCCGGUUUCUACCUUUUUGAGUCACAUAUAGGUUAGGAGCCAAUAAUUAUAAGUUGAUACCACCUGAGCUAAAUGUAAUAUUUUCCCCAGGAACCCCAUCAUGGAUUUAAAGCUAAACAUGCUCUCCUUUGCUUUUUCCUUCUCGUUUAUCCUUCUUCUGCUGCCCACCAGUCCUCAUGCUACCAGGAGGCAAGAAACCGUUUUCUGUUAGCAGUGACGCCCGGAUUUAUAAUCGGUCUUUCCCAUGCAUCCCUCUCCAUGUGAUUGCCACCUGCAUUUGUGAGCACAGCAGCUGCAGAUAGAGAGACUGAAAUAGAAAUACAGAGAUGGAGUCACAGAGGUUAUGAGGCGACAGGGCGGCAGACGGAACAGGGAGAAAAAACACAAAAUCCUGUGCCGACGCUUGACGCUCUACUUGACAUUCUACAUCCGUCCGUUGGUCGCUACAAGACGACGACCAGUUUCCUUCUGUUGCCACAUUAACGAAUCGGUCGUCCACACUGCGACACAGAGGAAGCGUCACGGUGCAGGAUGAAUUCAAUAGAUGGUGUGAUAAGUUUUCUGUCCAUGUUCAAAGCGGCGCCCGUUAAUCUAACAGGAGAAAGGGACAAUUUAUGGAGAAGAAAGUGCAAGAGGAAAUGUUAUCCAAGAAAGAAAAGAAAAACACCCUAAAAUAUAAAAUGAGACAGCUAGAGGCAGGCGGAGUUGCAUAUUAAGAGGGGGGGGGGGGGGGGGGGUGCUCAAAGCAGUAAUUAUCCAGAGACGGCUAUUUGUCCUGACAUUUUCCAAUGCAGCCCUCGAACCAUCUGUUUAAAGAUCCCUAAUGUGGUAGUAGUUCCGCAUGGCGCAGAUGGUGAGACAAGAGUGCAGCCCUCCUAACCUUUCAAGCUAAUCAGCUGAUAGGACGCACGGCCCGCUGCCUCCCGCAGGAAAUGGAUAGGUUUGGCCCUCAGGUUGCAGAGCUAAGGUCACAUUCACCUGACCUUCUGCGGGGCUCGCGAUCCAGAUCUAAUGUACGGUGUGUCUCCCAACAGGGAAACAAAAAGCAUCCGGCCUGUCACACAGUCAAUGGGUGUUAAUCUAUAGCAGUAGAAAACAUCAGUCUCAGGGGUAACAGAUUUAACCUUAACACGGAAAAAAAUGUUUUUUUUGAUAUAUAAAAUUGAACAUUAGAGGGGAAAAAAGCACUAUAUGAAUUCUCUACAAAGCCUUGUUCCCAUGGUAACUAAAAAAAAAAAGAAUGAGAAAGAAAGAAAUGUUUGAUUUCAGCCCUGUAGGAUGUUUUGCUUUACUUGCCUCUUCUAAUGAUGAUCUUUUCCAUUGUGCUGGUUACAUGGGAGCAGUAUGACGGCUCUCACCUCAACGAGAAUCUUCAGGCGCGAGUGAGGUGCUGCUUUAUUGAAUGAGAUCGAGAUGUUUGUCUGAUCCAACGCAACUAACGACGACUAUCAUCUUCAAACGUGUUUUCUGUAUUGAACUCGUGUGACGUGAAUGCUUAGAAGUUAAGUUGAUGCAGGAGUAUGUUGGUAAGUCGAUUUUGUUUUCUUUUGUGUGUUUCAAUUCUGCCAAACUUCAACUGCCCAUUAAAAGAAAAAAAUAAUACAACGCCUCGCAAGUUUCCAAUGCCAGGCAGAUGCCAGCUCCAUAACCUACUAGCCUCACCUUCGCCUCCAACCUUUCACGCUUUGAUGCUUUGGUGUUAAACGAACGCUUCAACCAUCCGACGUUACACUUGAUUUACUGCUGACAACCCCUCCUUUUCCUUUUCUCUCAUUUUGUUCUUUUUAUACAUAAGAUUGUACAAAGUAGUCCUCUAAUGUUUUCAUAGUGUCUUUUUAUAUGAAAAUAAAUUUUCAAAUUGAUCUCCUGUCUCAUACGUGCACGCGCACGUGCGUACGUUCUUGAAGGGCAUCAGUGGAGGAGAGCGACCGGGUUCUUCCUUGACUCGCAGUGCACUCGCAUCGCCGUGUUUUCAUAAUACUACUCUGGGUGUUGGGCGUGACGAACUCUGUUACUCAGAAGCAUUGAGGCCUAACUGUGACCGAUCAGAGGCCCUGCUGGUCUGUCAGAAAACAUGAGAGGAGCCGUUCUGUGAGUUUGAAGUCGUGUUGCACUGAAAUAACCGCGGGGGAAAUGUCAAUUCAAAGUGAUUAUUUCAUUAAAAUUGUAUAAACUUUGAGCGAUAUUUAUGCUAAUAACAAAAAAGAUGUUUUGCCAAAAAUGUUUUUGUUAUGUAACAUGGUAAAAAAAAUAGUCCCACUGGACAGGCGUUGAUAGUCCAGAAUGAAAGAACAUCAGACAAGAGAUGAGGCUGCGCAUGUCUGAGUCUCUGUACAUUUGCCCUCCAAUGGGCUUGUGGGUAAUUAAGUGGAGCUGCCAUCACUAAGCCUGGAGAAAGGCCACCAACUGGAACUUUCUCAUGGGAAUGAGAGCGAGGUCAGGAGAGGGAGAAAAUGGGACGAAAUCCACGGAGACAGGGAAGACGCAGGGAGAGGGUUUUUACAUCACUCCGGGCGGUUGAGUCACAGCAAUUACAGGGCCUUGUGGUUAUUUUUCGCCGAGGUUUGUGGGUAAUUAAGUUGUGCAACUGGUGUGUCACCCAGUGACCUGAGGAGAGAGCCCGCUGACAAAUAAAACGGGGAGACAAAAAUGAAGAGCGGUCGGACGAAGAUAACAGAUGUCAACCCCACCGAGGCUGUCCGACGGGAACCUCUGGACGGGGGGCCGCCUGAUUGCUCGUUAUUUACAAAAAAGACACUAUUCCGUGUUCCUGGCAGCGCUGGGAGAAAGGUGAGUUUCAGUGCUCAGAACGGUAAGUUGAGAAAGUUUAAUAUCGCUCAGUCAAACACAAAGUGACGCAAAAAGCUGGACUGUUACUUUGCCAUAGUGACGCAGGAGAAUAGAGUUUUUGUGCAUACCUUUUCUGCUUCUUGGGGGGCUAGAUCUUCAGUAACAAGCCGUCAUUGUGGUGUUUUUGUGGCAAUGAAACGGCCAAGGCAAGGAACAACGGAUCGAUACAAUCAUUUUUUUAUAAUAAUGCUUUCACAAACAAGGCUGGAUCAUCUUCCGCCUGUUGUCGCUAACGAUGCAUCCUGCGUCGUUAACUGAUGAUGAUUCCUCUGCUCCUCGAUAUUUCCUCCAUCCACUGCUGUGGGUGCCGGGUGAUGUCAUUAUUUAAUGUCACAUCCAUCAUAAAUGUGUAAUUGUUUUCGGAUGUGUUUUUCUGUACAGGUCAACAUCUCAUUAGUGAUUUGCCUGGACCUGAUGGCCCACGUUACGGAUCGCUAACUAUUGAAUAUGGUAAAGUUAAUGAAAGUGAUUGGAAAUAUUUGAAAUUGCCUCGUCAAACUGCAUUCUAAAUAUCUCUUUGUGUUAGUAUUAUGGGAGUUCAUGUCAUUAUUAUUUAACUUCUGCCAGAUGUCAUGGAAACUUACUCGGACCUGUGCAAAAAUCCUAACCUAAUGAUAUUAUUUCUAGUCAUCUUCCAUUAAUUUGUCAUUUCAUUGUACCUGAAAUGUAAUUUUUAGCACAUGUUUUUUCUUUUUUAUGAAAGACGUUAAAGUCCUUUGCCGACCAACCGCCAGUCGCUGCACGAGCCCUAAUGGAAACUUAUUUUCUGGUGGAAAAGGCCUCCGGCUUUUUGAACUCUGCAGUGAGAUUAUUUCAAAGGGAGAGUGUGAAGAGCUACCAUGGACAAGCAUAAAGUCAUAAAACAAACUAACCAAAUAGAAAAAAAGAAAGUAAAAUAAAGAAUUCCCCUGGCACACUGAUGAAUUUUGGCAAAGUGAAAGGCAGCGUGUGGUACUUUGGGAGCAUGCAACAACCUGCAAGCGGAAUGCGAUAUUUCAGUCUAGCGAUGCAAUAAAGUGAAAGUGCGCAGGGCAAGGAGGAAGUUUUAGUCCUAAGACAGGGAACAGUGGAAAUCCAUUGCUCUGAUGCCUGUGGUGCGUCUAGCUGUCCCUCCUCGAUGGCUGACAGAUGGACCUUUGCCGUGCUGCUCAGAGGGGACACUGAGAACGGAGCAGACGGGCCGACUACGAGAGCGGAUGGUGUGGACGGGGCCAGAGUGGACAGGAGUGCGGGUGAAAGUAUAAAUUAGAAAGAAUGCAAAGGAGCAGUAGAUCCCUGAAAACGGAAUCGUCUAAAGCCUAUUUAAGGCCCUGCACGGGGCUUUUGGACACAAAGCCGUAUGGCGAUGCCGUAGCGUUGUUGGACUGCUCCUUUGAGACUGCCUUCCGCCACUGGCGUUCGAUAUGGAAUGCCUUUGCUGUGCCUCGUCCAAGUUCUGGCCCUGCAAUAUCCAAGUGCCAGUCAGACAGACCUGGGAUCACAAGUAGUUAAGUUGACACUUUCAGCGUGAUUUAUUCAGAGCUGAGGUAAAGGACUCGCCUGCUCCACAAAGCAAAUCUUCUCAUAUUGCGGCAAUCUACAUUCAGUCGGAAAGAAUUGCCUUUCCAAACUACCCAGGGCUUCUUUAAACACUGGCAUAAUUUAGUGGUAGGCUUACGCUGGUGCGAUAAACCACAGCCGCUUUCACGUGUCGAGACAACGCCGCGCCUGGGACCUGCUGGAUGUUUAACAAAGGGCACAGGAAGAGGCUGUGCAGCCAGCUUCAAACCUCCGGGCCAUUCGUGCGAGGACAGGGUGCAGGAGAUACGAUGGGUGAGACAGAGGGGUGAGAACUCGUGAUGCUCCCUCACAUGUCUCGUUGCCGGGUAAUGAGACAGCAAAGCCGCCCUCUUGAACUCCCGAGUGUUCAAUAGCAGUCAGCACUGAGGAGUCCAAAUGAGGGCGACCACCUCCAUGACUCCCAGAUGCACUCGAGUCAUUCUUUUUUUGGCCGUGUAUGCAGGUUUGUGUGUUGAUGCGCUGCUGGCUCGGUAUCCAGAGAUCCAUAUGAACCGGAAUGAGAGCCAAGGACGCAGGCCUCAAGGAGUCGCUUAACAUUUUACACUCUUUCUAUCUUUUUGAUUGAGAUGAAAAGACCGUCUCACACUGAAGCAUUAAGAACAGAGCUGCAGUCGGGAUACGUUUGGCUUAGCCUUGAAUAACGGCCGGAGGCAUGGGGGAAUUGUGCCGACCGACUCGUCCAGAGACUCUUAUAUUGAGAUUGUGUCUCUUGUUUUUACAGAGAAAGACAUUUACAGAAAGUAAAUUUGUGAUUUCAGUUUGCAGAUAUUUUGUUUAGACUGUGGCCAUGUUGUCUUAUUAUCGGUGCUUCCAAUCUCAAACUUAAUGAAAGUCUAUAUAUAGAUAUUGCAUUGAAAGGCAUGAGCAAGUAAGCAAAUAUUGGCAAAAUUGAAUUUAUUAUCAACACAAACCCAACAAAAAGUACUUCAUCUUACCGUUGUAGCUGAAGGCCUUGGAUAAAUUGGAUAAAGUGAUGUAUCAUUUCAACAAUUUAUAGUUUCUGGGAUUUUAUGGCAAUUAAAAAUAAUAUAACGUGUAUAAGUUUUGGUUUUGGGAUCAAUCGCCCUUCGACUUGGAGUAGAGAUUUCCAAACAUUAGUGUCGGGUGGAAGGAGGCAUAUUCUUUUGUUUAACAAUGUGUGUGUGCAAAUGACCUCAUACGUACUAUCACCAACGUACAGACGUCAUAUGUCGGACGCCUCGAACGUCCUUUUCAUCCCUCCACUCUCGUCGAGAGUGAUUUGAGAUAACGAUCCGGAUGCGUUCAGGGAGCCGGUCUAACCCCUGAGGGAGUGGAAAUAUGAUUUGACCCCACUCAAAGAGCCGCUCUGUGCCAAGUCAAGCCGACCUACAGGAACGCAGGAAUAGAUCCCUCCAUCUCUUUCCCCACAGCCCCACACCUGAAAUCCCUCCGUGAACCAUCCCAACUCUGAGAAUUGCUUCUGAUUUGCGAUGCAAACACAAACAUGUCUUAUCACAGUGUCACUGUGUCUCCUGUCAGUCAGUUUGUUGGAAUGUUCAUGUAACACUCAAAGGCAUUUAUUUUCUAUUCCACGAUGUUUAAGGUGUCUGGCUAUAAUGAACCAGUGAUUAACGAAAGAGACGAAUACAAAUGAAUCCCUCCAAGUUGUCGAAGAAAAAUACAUUAGAACUGCCUGAGUUGCUACUUUUAAACGUGACACAGAGUUUCACCUAAAGACUCUAGACCACAUGCAGAAAGCGACAUCGUCGAAAGUUGUUAAAAAAAAAAAAAAGAACACGUACAUAGCGAUUGAACUCAAGGAGACGUGGCACCUUCAGCACAAACAAAGCACAUUCAUUUGUGCAGAAGUUAUUAAUGUUGUGAUUAAUGCAGAGGGUCCGUUCUUAUUAGAUUCUGCUCCCUCACCAGAAUAAACUUAUUCCAAGGACCUCAUUAAGCUUUAAGGGUUAGGAAAAGCACAGGCUCACAGGUUCACAUAAUAUUGCUGAAAAAUGGUAGAAAGGAAGGAUUUCUUCCGCCAACACUCAAACACUGUGGGUGAAGAACAUUUCCUUGUGUUUGAGUUUAAGAACAUACUAUUCACGUCUUGCUCAAUAAUAAAACUCAUCAUUUUACAAACAGCUUCGUCCUCAAAUCUCCAUCAUUCUAGUGUUGUUGUUGUUGUUUGCGGUCAAUCCUAAUUUAGCAGGGACAACUUUAAUCAGUUGAGAUUAGCCGAAUUUGAGCAUUGAUAGACUUCACUCUGUAUUUAACCAAUUAUAUUAUAAUGGAAACACCAAUUUUCAGAAGGAAAGAAAUUAUUUGAUACAGUGUUUUUGUUUGUAUGUGACUGUUCAUGCUCAUUAUUGCAACCUUUCACAAUACAACCACUACCUAAGGAGGUAAGAAAGCAGUAUAAUAGAACACGCAAUUUUUUUUUUGUCUUGGUGUACCAUUAGGAUGACAUACUAGAUAUUCAGAUACUAGACAUGCUCAGCACUGCUAACCAGGCAGCUGUUAUUGGUUUGUGUUCCGAUGUCAGCAGGGACAGUGGGAUCCUUUCUCCGCCCCAACAGGAAAAAAAUCUGGUUAUUUUAGGAGGAUUGUGUCCCACUUGUUCAGCACAGAAUUUGCAUGAGAGGCACUAAUCAACCACUUCACAAUGUCACUUCGUCGGGCCUCCCAGCAGGUUUGUGGACUCAUAUGUACAGAGUUAUUGAGUCAUGUACAAUAGGCUGUUGCACGACUCGGAUUAACUGAUUUAACGAGCCACUUAAAACUACAACUUUCAGUAAAUCCAACAAAUGAUUCAUAAAAGACUAUUUGUGCUGUUCCAUAGAUGAUUUAACAGUUAUCCUUAAGCUGUACAUUGAUGAAAACCGUAACAUUAUUACUUAUACAAUAUUCUACCAUAAUUGCUUAUGUUUGGGUCGUCGUGGCGCAGGGGUUAGAGAAGGUGUGCUGUGAAGCGCAAGGUUGUUGGUUCGAUUCCAGGCUGCCCCAUGUUCCAUGUCGAAGUGUCCCUGAGCAAGACACCUAACCCCUAAUUGCUCCCCGGGUAAAAAUGUGAAAAAGCCAUGGGUUUAAAAUGUAAUGUAAGUCGCUUUGGAUAAAAGCGUCUGCUAAAUGACCUGUAAUGUAAUAUGUUUAGGAGGAUUGAAGAUUAAAAAUACAUUUGCCAAUGAAGUUUUAAUGUGAAACUUUUUUUUCGGAAUGGGUUGUUUUUCUAUUAGCAAUCAUUAUGGUCGGCAUAUUUGGUCUGCUUAUCAUCGAUCUUAGUGGGGUGUAGUGAGUAUUUCCAAACAGAAAAUGCACUGUAAAAAUGUUUGCCGUAUUUUCUUCCACAGAUUGUUUCCUCUUUUCCAUGAAAUAAUUAAAUGACUGUAGAUUAACACAUAUAUCAUUUUCAAGUCGGCCAUUACGAGUACAGGUAAUUAACCCAAACUUUAAAAUUACCGUAAUAUUAAUAUCAUUUUGUGAUAUUAUAGAUUGUAAACUUACUUUAUAUGUAAAGUUAUAUUUAAAAGAUUUUUCUUUCAUGAUAAAAUUCAUCACUCAAAAUAUUUGUUCGCCAUGCUUGUUCUGCUCCCGUACACUGCGUGUUACUCAAUUAGCUCAUCCAGUGCACCAGUCAGCCGCACCCUCCUCAUCAUCGCCAUCGCUCUCAGCUCCGCCUCCGUAUUCAAACCUCUCACUCGACUCCGACUCGGCUGUCCUCCAUAGCCUUCAGUCCCUCACCUGGAGAUUAUCACCCCCCUCGCUUUCUGUGGUGUCCGUCUACCUGCUCCCCCGACGGCUCGGCCUUCCUUCCCCCACCGGUUGAAUUUAGCCAUGUGAGUCGAUCCGAGACGGGGUUUUUUUGUGUUGUGUGCACUUUGUGGAAUAAAUCUUUUAUCCUCAUCCUCCGUAUAUCUGUCGUGCUGCGCUUGGGUAUUUACCGCACUCGUUAUAGAUGCAGCUUAUUUCUACGGUGAAUUGGUGUAAAAAUAUGAAUGUUAUUUAGCAAACUCUUUUUAAUUGCUCUGUGCGAAGUAGUAUAGGAUCAAGGGAGCUGUAAUCUUCUCCCCCACUAAAGUAGAAACGGUACUCACAGGCCUGCUACAGUAACCAGACUGCUGCUUCAACUCGGAUGCUUCUUUUUAGUAGAAAAAAGUAGUAGAAAAAAAAUUGCAUACAUGGAAAAAGCAUAUCUAUACAAGAAAAUCUAGUUAAGCCAAGCAAUUAGGGAUGUGUUGAGUUGAAAAAACACUAAGGUGCUGCUCACAUGAGUUAAAUUACUCCGCUAAUGACUUUGAUGUGUGUAAUUGUCUAACUACACAACCAAACUCUGUGGGAGGCAUUGCAUUCUGGGAGAGGGGUGUGGGCGAGGCUACCGACAGCAUUACCAGGUGAUUUGAUUGGCACAGCUGGUAGUCUUGACUAAUCAUGCGCACUUUAAAUGCUAUUUGCUGUGGAAUUGUAAAUACGACUGAAGACUUACAGUGAGAUUAAAAGCCCCUGGACCUUGUGGGCGGGGCCACCGGGGACGAGCCGUCCCAGGUUUUUUCGAGGUAUGUGUGUAAAAGUGUUUUGUGAUUAGUUUGUUUAUUUGGAGGGCUAAAUGGAUAAAAAUACAUUAUUGGAUGUAUGUUGUGUGUAUGUAUGAAUGUAUAUAUAUUUUAACCUGCUCGACAAGGAUAGUUAACAUGGGAGAUGCUAGUACCUUAGCAUUCUGAUCACAUUUUUGGUUUCAGAAGGCUGCAGUGUAUUAGACAGAUUAGGUUUGGAGGAUACUACAUUCAGGUAUCGCGCCAUAAAGUCUUGAACAAAAAUAAAUUCUCAUCCCUCCUCCUGUGUUUAUGAUGGAGACAGGCACACGCGGCCUGGUUGUCCUCCAGAACCUCAUGAUUUACUGUGCGGUACAUAGGGUUACUGCAGUGCCUGGUGUAGGCCAUGAGAAGUAAUCAAAUGCCUUAAAAGGCCAUAUCCAGUCCAAUGACAGACGAAUGACAGUGGACCCAAAGAUUGAAAAUGCUGGAGAGCAGCAUGACGACAGCAAGUUCAUAUUAUGCCUCUUAGCCAAAUCUGCAAUGCUGUAAAACCGAGUCCAACACAUUUAAUAUUCUCCUCGUCUGGGUUCACCCUCCCUCUUUGUUAAUUGGUCUGGCUUUUAGGAAGUUACCGUGACAACGCAUUCUCCCCUCUCCUUCCCCACUCUCGGGGACUGCGUUGGUAUAGUGUAUGCUCUGGUUGCCUGCAGAGGAGGGAAUAUGUGGCAAAUACAUCUCAUGCCUCUCCAGUGGCACGUUGAUGCUUAAAUCGUCCCUCCGGUCAGCGAGCUGCAACCACUCGGAAUGAUGUGAGCCGCUUCAGCUGUAAAUGCUGUGAAGGCAAACAGACUUGAGGGAUUUCAAGGAAAUCCGUACAUCUUACUCAGAACGAUGACGGCGUUUGGCUGGUGUUUAAAGUUGGUGGUAGUGUGUAAUCAUGGAUGUACUUUUACUCUUAUUCAAAGAAACACUGUUUAUCCAGCCGUUCGUUUCUCUGAUUGUCAAACCAAUGGCAUAACAACCGGCAAAUACACUGUCUCAAAACAUUAUGUUUGUUAUUGAGAUGAAAGUCAGGGCCACGGUUGUAACCUGAGGAAGGAGCCCAGGGGUUAUUUGUGGUAAAUUGUCAUAGUGCUUGAUGGUACUGGUCAGAUUUGGCUUUGCAAACUGGGAGGAUCCUCACACUAGACGCCAUCUGUGUUUAAAUUUACCUAAAAAAAUGACCUCAUUUUUCUAUCCUUGUUUCCCCCUUUAACACUACUUGCCUUGACUUACUAUCUCUUCGUCAGAAGGGGAAAAAAAUCUGUCUUCUGGCAGUGCGCUCUGUGGUUAGGGGGCUGUUGUUUGGAGGAAGGGCAAUUCUAUCAAAUGGACUUGUCGUGUGGAGCACUGCCCACCCAGUUGCAUGGAGUUUGCCCUCGGGUGCAGCACAGCCAGUCAGAGAAAGAGGAGAACUAUCUUUGGCCCGAGCCCUCACGGUCUCGGAGCCAAUCUGGUUCCAUGGAAGGGAUGGAGAGAAAAUCAAGAACGUGCUCUACUCCGCUGGGGGGAGGGGGGGUGUUCCUAAAACAUUGGAAAUCCCCCAAAACUGCAUUUUCUAAAACAUACAUUUUACAUAAAAUAAAGUGAAGAUUUUUUUGAUGCAUUGAAUUGCAACACGCGAGUCUGAAAGUAUUUCACCUGAAUACAGCAACCUAAAUUCUCCUCCCAGCUUUUUCUCUAUUCAAAUCAUAGUUCCAUAAAAAAUUCAAUAGAAUAACAAGAAAUUUGAUUCAAAUAUUAUCAAAGUAAUUAUUGUAUUCUCAUCUCCAUUGUUUGUUUUUGAAGCAGCAACAGGCUGUUGAGUUCCACCCAGAAACUACCUCUCUAAUUACAGCAGCCAUAUAAUUAUCAUGCGGCCGCAUCUUUGUGUGUGUGUGUCUGUGUGUGUCUGUCAGCAGUGCAUCUCCGUGUGAGGCAAUGAUUGGAUGCUGUUAAGGAUGUGAUCGAGAGAAUUAGAAGGAAUACCAAAUAAACGCGUUGGAGGAAAAAUGUAGAAUGAUGAGCGAAACCCAGUUUGAAACGAGUACCUUUUUUUUUUUUUUUUUUUUUUUUUUUUUAAUCCGCGCUCUCACAAUGGGAGACGUCGGGAUAACGAGGCACAGAGCGCCUCAUGUGGCUUCCUGCAGAGGUAACGUCACCGAUUCAUGGCCGGAGAACUCUCAACUAUGUUGAAACCGCGGAGCGACGGGGAUUACAGUGGCACGGCAAUCUCCCAACAAGCUAUGAAUUUAUCUGUGAUUCAGGACUGCUGUGCCCCUUUCCCUUUAUCAACACCAUGCAGGAACCGACCCCCUUCAGAUACUUUCAUGCUGGGUGCUGAUGGUCACUGGGCCUCAUUUACUUACACGCGUGCAGACGUUUUGAGCUACAUUUAAAUACCUUCACAGAAGUUUUAAAAGUAUGUAAUGCAUAUUAAAAAUGCCACUCACAACGUCUGACAUUUACUCGCAUUGCUGCUCGUUAGCCAGGGUCCUCUGGUAAAGGGAGAGAAAGGACAUUGUUAAUUAGAACAUUCUAUUAUUAAAGACGGUCACAGCUUUGAGGCUGUGAGUUAUAGACUGAUAUCAGCAUGCUGGAUUGGUGAUGUUGAGAAUCCUAAAAUGCUGAUGUUUAGUUGGUACGCUACAAUAUGUUUAUUGGCGGAAUUGAAAGUGCGGUUCAAGCCAAGCGGUAAAAGGAAAAGAAUUGCAGAAGUCGAAAGGUAUCAUCUUCUGAACAUAACAACGGCCUGCACCAAUUCCCACGGCAAUCCAUUCAGUAGUUGUUAAACAUUUCUUUAAAUACGGAAAUGUCAGCCUCGCGGGGGAAAAGUCUGCAGGUAACCAUAGCGAUUAGGUUUCUCUAAUCCCAAAUGUGUGAAUGUGUGAUUGAAGACUCUUGUUUGAAAAAAGGAUGACAAACUGAGAAUGAAAUAAAAUGCUUGUUGCUUGAGAGAGGACGAAAGUUGCAUCGACGUUUCUACUUUUUCAUUUUAUACUUUACUCUGUAAUGCUUGAAUUUGCACCCGAUGUAUUCACUGCAGAACCGCCUCCCAUAUGUAUUUUAAUGGUAAGGUUUCAUUCUCUUUGGUGAUGGAAACAGGAAAGUGUAGACGUUGGUCCAGUGACUGAACAGAGACAUUGAUGCAUAGCAUGUGUUGUAACCAUCCCCACUUUGCUCGAUCAUCUUCAAUUUUGCCUAAUUUUUGCAGAACAAUAAUCGUUUAACCACAUGAAAUAAAAUGUCGCUAGAAGGAAAUUUAAAUGACCAAUGUGGGAUUAUUACUUUUCAUGUAACAGCCAAUAACUGUAUAGGUUGCUUCUUGAAUUAUUUAUUACAAUCUUCUGGACAUUUUUGCUCGGCAGGGAUAUACAUAUAUUUUUACAGGUUUUUUACUAGUUUAAUCCCUCUGUAGUUAAACUAUUGGAUGUUUGAAUAAUGGCUUUUUUUCUGAAGCGGAACAAAAAUAAAAAAACAUGGCUGACUCAUUGGACGAGAGCUUACUGCAACAUUUAAUAUAGAAUAAAAAGUUGUCUUUUCAUUGUGUUUUCUCAACCUAUUUAAUAAAGCUAGGUUUGGGGGAUUUGGAAUUUAGUCAUUAGCCUCACAACAUGUUUCUCUCCCUCUCCUCCACUAACGGCACUGCUCUCGGCUCCGUCCCUCCAGUGCAGACGAACGCAGCCCAUGAUGCCUUCGGGCAAAGCAGCAGGCACAACAUCUCCUCUGCAAUGCUUCUGCGUUGUGUCCGAGCGAGCGUUUUAUUAUCUCCCACGUAGACUUCACACAACUAACCCGGACAGAAUAACGCCUGGGUCGGGGGGGGGGAGGAGUGGCGGUGUAUGGCUCUGGGGUGGGAGGCUGUUGGAGGAAUGCAGGUAGCCUGCAGCUUUGGUUUGUGAUGACUGUUUGUUAGCCUCAGGGCGGCUGCUGUGCUCCAGAAGCCGUGUCCUGUGGUGGCACAUAUUACAGGGAGCAGGCUCCCGUUUUCUUUUGUAUACGUCCAUUUUGAGUCAGCCGACAGCGUGAUGUGUUUCUCGACAUUUCUGAUUACCCACAGGGCAAAAAGUGUGUGUGUGUGUGUGUGUGUGUGCAUCAGGACACUAUAUAGCACCCACUGCUUUUCCAUCUUCUAUUAUAUAUCUGUACAAAAGUAGUAGUGACUCUUUUUUUGGCCUGUCGUAUGGGUUCUAAUCCUUCACAAGGAACAAAAAGCAUCCCAGCAUUUCCAAUCAUUUGUUAGGUUUAUUGGUCAGGAGAUUCCUAAAAAAUGCGUGCAAACGCACGUUGAUUUCCAUCAUUGUUUGUGUGUGAGCAGGAAAAGAAGAAGUUGUUGCUGAGAUAUUAAAACACAGGGGGACGGGAGGGUUCUUGUACUGUCCACUGUUUGGGAGCUCUCCCUGACUGAUAGAUGUGUCUAGUGGAAUAAUGACAUUUCCACACUGUGGAAGGAACUCUACUUGAAAGGUCAGACUGCCCACUACCCCCUCCACCCGCUUUCAUCUAUGGGUCCACCUUCUCUUAUGUGCAUGGGUGGGCAUGUGUGCACAUAGCCAUGGGUCUGCUCCCGUGUCCGGUCUCUAAGGUAACAGCGGAGGAGAAAGUCUGUUAUCCCAUCACACAAAAUCCAGAAUAAUUUCAGUUCUCUCUUCAAUUAGUCUGUUUUUACUUUUUCAGUGAGAGCUUAUCAAAACCUGUUUGAUUGGUCCUUUCAACACAGCGUAGACCAUCAUUUUAGGCUCUGUUGUUGUCUGUCAAACCAGGUUUGGUAAAGUAUCAAUUAAAAUUUUUUUUUCAUACGAUUUUCUGGAGAUUAUAUUUUCUGUUCACUGGGCAGGUUAAUAUGGGUAAAGUCAAUAAAAAAAGAACUCAUGUCUUGGACAAUUGUCAGAAUGUCAUCUAUAAAAUACCCUUGACUCAAAUUAUUUGAAUGACCUAAUUUACUCACUUUAAUUACUCCAGUACUGUGAAGCCGAUUUUAUUCCGGAUGAUUAUUGUGGACUCCUCUGACAAAGGUUCUUAACAGCUCACCUACAGUGGGCAAAUUGAUAUUGACAACUGCGCUGAAGCGAUUAUGUUGGUCAAAAGAAGAGGAUUUUAAAAAUUUGGAUUCAUGUAGCAACGUCUCAAUAUGCAAUUCCGAGCGCAUCGUAGCCUCUGGAGGUUUGCACUCUGCCCCACAGGCUACAUCGGUGGGUUGGACUCAAUUCCCGCCUCUGCAGCCUCGCUGAUUAUGUCACAAAUGGUGGCCGCCGGGGGGAGGGGGGGAUUCUAGAUGGCAGCAGGAAAUGGGGACGAUACAUGAUCCGCUAAAAAGUGUUUUCUGUGUGUUCGUGUCAAACAAAAAACAAUGUAUGGAGUUCCUUCAUCAUGUACUAUGUUUUUGGGUCGCUAAUAUCUGAUUGGAGAGGAACAUUAUGAUGGAGUCAAAGGUUUGACUGGUACUGUAGUUUUCUGACUACUAGUGUUUGGUGCAAAGUCUCUUCUUUCGUAAUUAUGCUGGAUCUGUUUUCUGUAAGCCUCAUGUGCCACCUACACUUUUUUUCUUCAUAAACCGAGGAAGCCUAUGAGGCAUUGUGUUGCACAGAUCCAAGCUGACAGCUUAAAAUAACAGUUACCAGUUCUCCUGCCUGUCUCCCUCUGACGCAUUCGCAGUGCUGUAAUGUUAAAUGGAGUGUACUGCCGACCUGGGAGCGUCACAGGCGGUCUCUGACACCACGCUGACUUCACACACUAAAGGCCCUUUCCUCUUUUCACUCCGUCGUGCUCCACCAUGUUGAUUUCCAGCCCACGGCACCUGUCAUCUUUCGCCAGGAGUUGUCAUGAACGCCUUCAUGUCUCCUGGUAGACCUCGAUUUGGUGUCUUUCGGAGACCUUUUAUGGAGUGGAAUAUUGGUGAACGGUUGCUUUGCAUCCUUCGUUACAGUAAUUCAACUUUGAAUCCAAGUGAGAUUAAAUGUUUCUCUUUUAAUACAGCAAACGGUACAGCUUUGUAUAUCAAAUGUCCUACACUGUUGUUACAUGGCAUUGCACCCUCUCUGUUCAUCUUGUCUCUGAAAGACAAAAACUGCAUCUCGGGGAAAACUGCAGCGUUUACAGUUAUCUAGUUGAUAGAAUUGCUGUAAUGGAUGAAUUCUCUCCAGUGGUCAAAGUAAAGCCUUGUGUAUCCCAUUCACCAACCUGACCACGUCUUCAUUAACCUAAUGCAAUACAUGUAUUUAUUAUUAUUAUCAUUCACCCCCCUCACUUAAAAAACUUUGCCAUGGAACUCAGGUAAACAAUAUGUUUACCAACAAAAACUAUUGAGUUGUACAUUAUUGAAAGGGUUAGUUUCGGAAAACAAACAAUGGCUUACAUCAACUGGUGGAAGAGUGAAUUGUUAAGUCAUUCGUACGUUGCACUUUUUACAGCUUACAAACUUGCAUGGCCACAUUGCUAGGUAAUUAUCCAAUACAUCUUUUCUCUAUUUGGAAAUACUUUUUGGGAAAAGUGAGAUGUUUACACUGUAAUAUUUUAGCUGGAGAAUGAUUUCAUUAUUUUACAGCCCUCACAAUAAUUAGACAACCCAUUCAAUUCUUUCCACACUUACUAAAUGUGUGAAUAGGCUGCGGCUCCGAGACCAAACCCCUCCAACCUUUUGUGUGACAUCAUGCAUACAUCUGUUAAAAACCCAUUAAUACAUGACCCGUUUUGUACAGCACAUUUCUCAUCAACAAAGCCAUUGUGGUGGAACCCACCUCUCUGAUUGCUUACCCUUCUUUCUGUGCAUAUGCCUUUCAUUUACUCCAAAGCCUCUCCGCUCAGUCUUUUGUUUCAAAGCAACCUCUUUUAAUUACUUUAGCUCGCAAUGUGAGCUUUGCAUGACGGCUUCCGCUCAAGCCCAGCAUUGGGGAAUAUGAGGAGAGAUGAUUUGUAUUAAUGUUGGGUAACAAUGACGGCGAGAAGACUUUGGGGAGGAAAAUGACAUGAGACAGAAUGAGAGGCGGAGCUGUCAGGAGGAAUUGGUCUGAUGAGCCUUGGAUCACGGCUCAAAUACAGCUUGUCUGACGUUUUUACCUUUUUUGUCCAUUUUUGAAAAAAAUCAAGAUCAGGAAACAUUUAUUGCUAUAGUAGACAUACAAGGAAUUUGACUUGGACGACAAGACAGCAGUGCAAGAAGGAUAAAAUAAAAUGCUAUGGGUUAGUAAUAUAAGGCUAUGGAUUAGUUGAAAAUAAAGGAAUAAAAGUUAAAAAUAUUUAAAUAAAGUGCACUGGGGAACAAAGUGACAAGUGAUGUGUGCAGUGUGAAAGAAAGUGACCGGUGCAAUGAGUCCGUCAGUGAGGGACUAGGGCUCUCUCGAUCAGCCCGAAUGCCGACGGGAAGAAACUGUUCGUGUGGCGGGAGGUCUUAGUCCUGAUGGACCUCAGCCUCCUGCCAGAUGGAAGGGGCGCAAACAGUUUUUGUCCGGGGUGAGAGGGGUCGGCUGUGAUCUUCUUAAGAAGAACAACCUCCGCUGAGCCUUCUUGGUGAUAGAGCUGAUGUUCAGCUCCCACUUGAGGUCCUGGGUGAUGAUGGAGCCCAGGAAACGGAAGGAAUCCACAGUGGUGACGGGCGAGUCACACAGGGUGAUGGGGGAGGGUGGGACAAACAUCUCCACUGUCUUUAGAGCGUUGAGCUCCAGGUUUUUCUGGCUGCACCACAACACCAGAUGGUCAGACUCCCACCUGUAGGCGGACUCAUCCCCACCAGAGAUCAUCCGCGAACUUCAGGAGCUUGACGGACUGGUGACUGGAGGUGCAGCUGUUGGUGUACAGGGAGAAGAGCAGGCGGGAACGAAAGCAGCCUUGGGGGGGAAACCAGUGCUCAUGGUCCGCGAGGCUGAGACAUGUUACACCAGCUUCACGUGCUGUGAAACAGUUUUAUCUCUCCACCAGGAUGAUUUUAUCCUGCUGGAGACCGGUCCUCAAAGCCGUCCUGCCAUGUCUUUGUGAAUGUGCUGUAAGUGUACUUGCACUCUGAGAUGGAAAAGUGUGUUCUUAUUCUUUCACUCUGCCAGUUGCCGUGACCGGGGGCAUUCUGUCUGUCAAUCAAAUUGUCCACUACCUUCAUUGUUAAAGGAGGGGUGGGUGGGGGGGGGGUGUGUUGCUCAGAUUUGGCACAAACAUCCACUUGACUAAAGGAUAAACUGAUCUGAAUUUUUCCAGUGAAAUAUGGAAGGCCUACGAAUGGUGUGGGCCUCUACGGCCCGUUAUCCUACCGGAGCGAAGCGUUGAUCAAUACUGCAGCGAUUUGAGGACGGAAUGUUGGUAAGUGAGAACAGGAGACAGAAAGGCCACCGCCAUCGCUCUUCCAAUGACGCUGAGGAUCUGGAUCCACUGGGCUCCCAAGCUAAAUUAAAACAACCGGCAUCCCAUUGAUUCCAGCUGUGACAGGGACCAUACAUCACCCCCAUAGCCAGAGGGAGGCCAAGGGAGAGUAAAGCGAAGGAAGGGGAGGGAGUGUAAUAGAGAAGCAACACAUUCAGGAUAGAAAAUGAUAACCAAAAUAAUAGCAGGAGAAAACGGACAAGAGAAAGGGUGGGUUUGGCCAACUAGACAAGACAUUCUACACUGACUAGUCAAUUUUUAUCGAAUACAUGGUUUACUUUUUUGUGAAGAAGCGGAGGUGGCCCAGAGGUUGGAAGAUGGCCUUUGAGCUGUUGUUAGUGUAUAUACAAAAACAUAGAAAUGCCGAUUGGGUUGAAAAUGGGUAUCUCCUUAAAUGGUUUAUUUACAUCCUGUUAACGUGUAAUUGCGAGGAUAAAGUGGUGCAGCAGUAAAAAGAAAGCUGCAACAGAUGUCCUGUCUCAGACCGCUCUGCUGCCAGACCUUCCAUGCCCGGCAGGGCUGAACAUUUUGAAGUACUAGAAUUUUCAGUUUUGCUUAUUGAUCUACCUGCUUACAGAGUGCUUUGUUUUGCGUCACUCUUCCUUUUACCAGGAGAUAGGCAGUCCCGUUGUCACGGAUGCCAGGCUUUAAUCCAGCAACUGUAAAUUCAGUCUUAGAACCUUUUUUUUAGUCCCGUAGCCUUUUCAGGGUUGAUGGAAAUGGAAACAAGCCAUUGGUCAACGCACUGAAAGCUAUUCCAAGGCGCUUGGAUGGUACUCCAGGGUGACACAACAGUGCAAACCCCCCUCUGAUUCUCUGAGGGACACACAAUAUGGUAAUGCAGGGAAUGAAUAGUGAGUCUCUGGGAAGACUGUGUGUGUGUGUGUUCAGCUGCUCAAUUGGCCACUGCGGCCAGCCAUUACUGAGCAGCACCCGGCAGCCGAGUGUGACACACACCAGCUGGAUCUGCAAGCACCUCCACCGGGAGGGGAGGUAUGUGCCAAUGAGACAACAAGAAAGUGAGAGGGAACGGGAGGAGGAUAAGCCUGAAAGACAAUGGGGGACAGUGGUGCCACAGAGAAAGAGAACUAACGCGUGGAGAGAUUCAUCCUGGACGUGAAACGAAAUGGAUUCAACACCGCCCACAUGACAAAGUCGCCAACGCAGGAGAAACGUAUGACAAACAAAGAAAUGGCACUCACAUAAAUUAUGUUGACCUCAAUGUCAGAUUGAGUGAAGGUAUGCACGUGUGGCAGGUUGUGUUCGUCGGUGUACUCGCUCCCAAGACACAAAUGUCCACCGUGUCUCAUGUUGUCAUGGUGACCAUCAGAACCGCCAUAAAUAAAACUGAGAUCUGCUGAAUUGGGGGAUGUUCCAGCUGUGUGCAGCUGCACACAUAUGCUCUGUACCUCCGAGACACCUUGAGGCUGCCAUCCUUGUCCGCGAGGUAUUUCUUCUUAGCCUUUCUCCCCUCUCGCUUUCUUUCUUUGCGUCUCACUCCCACACAGCUAUUUGCACAGACACCUUUGCCGGUAAUGAAGAAACACAUUAUGCAUGGGUGGAUCGGGAGCUUGGAGGGUGUGGGGAUGGCAAAACGAUGAUUCAUAUGCUAGAAGAUAAAUGUAUUUUCACCACUUUCUUUGGCCCUUGCCUUUUCCAUUUCUCUCACCCCUCCCUUCCAUUUCAUAUUCCACAGUCCAGCCACAUUAUUCCUGUUGCUUUUUACUCGAACGCUGCCGUCUGGCUGGGUGACACAGAACAAUAUAGCAUUGGUAUUUCGGACAUCACUCGCCAGUGGCUGGCAUGGAACGGAGGGGAUGGAGGAGAAGCGAGACCUUCGACAGCCACUUCAGUCUUUGUUUGAAUCCCGUUAAAGGCAGACUGGAGUCGUCUUUUAUUGGCUGGAAGUCGAUGAGCGUCUCACUUUGUUUUGGCAAAAAAAAAAAGCGUUCUUCCCAGACGCCAGGGAUGCUAAAGCC